CUGUGAACAGGAGGGCAACAGCCUUUCAGCACUCAACCAUGUCACUGCCUGCCUUGCUUUUUGAUGGAACUGGGGUGAGUGUGUGCUUGUGGAAACAAGAACACAACAACAGAAGCCAUAAGAACAGUGAAAUCAGAAGACACCUGCAUCGCUAAUAACUUUACAAUUUUCCCUUUGCCUGUCUUUGCAUUAAAGAAAGAAAAUGAUUAAAUUCA